rfam:Saccharomonospora xinjiangensis XJ-54 genomic scaffold Sacxiscaffold_2, whole genome shotgun sequence.
CUUCACCGAACCCAGCCACAACGGCAUACCCUCGGCACGGUCCUGCCCGUAGGUCGCCAACAGAGCCUGCGCCUC